rnacentral:lncRNA from 1 species
GAAAGUGGGAAAGCUUCUUCAUCCUAACUCCUAUGAGAUUUAUUCAACAUCAUGGUGAUUCUCCACUACUUUUUGUAUCAAAAUCAAGCUUCUUACAUCGCGAUUCAUCCUGGUUUGAUUAGAAUGACAAAGUAGUUGUCAUAUUCCCAAACUGGAAAACUGGAAUCACCUUAUUUGAAAGUGGGAUAGCUUCUUUAUCCUAACUCCUAUGAGAUAGUACGAAGUUUUUACGAAGAAGUAUCCUUGAAGAUUUAAACCAAAUGAACCAAGCUCGGUCGUUGCGUAAUUACCGCGCAUACACGCCGUCCAGUCGCUACGUAGCGACCGAACAUCCGACCCACUCGGUCGCUACGUAGCGACUGAGCUCGAGCCAAAGCUCGGUCGCUACGUAGCGACCGAGCUCGAGCCAAAUCUCGAUCGCUACGUGGCGACCGAGCGCUUGUCCCGCUCGGUCGCUACGUAGCGACCGAGUGCUGGCCCCGCUCGGUCGCUACGUAGCGACCGAGCGCUCGUCCCGCUCAGUUGCUACGUAGCGACCGAGUACAAGCCAAACCUCGGUCGCUACGUAGCGACUGAACGCUCAUCCCGCUCGGUCGCUACGUAGCGACCGAGCUCAAGCCAAAGCUCGGUCGCUACGUAGCGACCGAGCUCGAGCCAAAGCACGGUCGCUACGUAGCGACCGAGCUCGUGCCGAAGCUCGGUCGCUACGUAGCAACCGGGCUCGAGCCAAAGUUCGGUCACUGUGUAGCGAUCGAACUCUUCCGAACGUCGAUACGUCACCAAUCCAUGCAUUCUCGUCAAACCUUCAAAUGCUAUCUCCCGAAGACCAUAGCAAGCUCAGUCAAUGUUUUCCGCUAUUCUAACUCAUCGAUCAAACUUCGCGGAUUAGAAACCGGGGAAAGUUCGUUCUUUAUCAAAAAAAAUCGUAGUAAACGUGUCGAGUCGGAAGACGGCCCAAAGGGACCUAAAACAUGACUCGAGGCCCAUCCUACGAUUUCUUAACCAAAAGCCCGUAAACCACAGCACGGUUUACGCUUGGUCCACAAGGAAGGAUAAAUGCCAAGUUUCCGCGGAUAAAUACGGAAGUUUUGAAGAUAAUUGUGAAGAUCGGGAAAAAUGGAAUAUCUCCAUUUUUAUGCUAUGACGGCUUAAGGGCAGAAGAGUAAAAGCGUAAACCGACCUUGGAGCUAGUAUAUAAGGAGUCCUAGGCGAGGAGCAUAGGAGAGAACUUUUUCAGAGCAAACUUAGCACUUAGAGCAAUUUAGGCAAUUUUACGUUUUUGUUAUUUCAAGCUGCGACUCAAUUAGGUUUAGCCGUCUUAGGGUUGCUAGAACUAGGAAUCUCGCCGACAGCUCUCGAGCCCAGGCUUAUACCUUGUUGUAAACGCUCAUACGCAGAUUCGGAAUAAGAUCUUCUUUGCUCUCUUUUUUGAUUCCUUAUUUUUAUCGUCGUUAUUAUCGUGUUAUGAUUGCUUGACGUGUGGUAAUUAGCAGAUAUUCGGGUCCUCUGGGAAAUUAGGGUUUUCCUAGUUUCCUUAUUUAAACGGAAAUCGACAGUGCGAAUUUCGGUUCCCACAGUUUGGUGCUAGAAGGAGGGGGAUACGGAUCAAUCUAACCCGCAAAAGCCACAUCACGCUCAGUCAGACAUGUCAACUAACGACGCGGAUAACGUGCAGACUCCUCUUAACGGAGAUAGCGGCACCGAUCUCCACAAUCCAGCAGCGGAUGUAUCCGCGGCCAACGCACAAGCCAACGCCGCGACGCUCGAGGAGUUUAAAAAGAUGUUCGCCACUUAUGAGAAAAGGUCGGAAGAACAGGAUAAGCUCGUGAAUACCUUGACCAAACAGGUUGAAACCUUAACGGCAAGGACCCAAGCAAUCCGUCCACGCGGAACCACCAAAAUCCGCGGGAAGAGGCUCGACUUCGCUACCCCACUCGACAGAUAAGGAGUCGCGCAGGAACGACCUUCCGGUCAAAACCCUAGCGAGAAAUCUCCCAUCGAAAAGGGGAACCCUGAAAGUCUUCCGCCCCCUGCAAAGGACUCGGAGGAUAACGAAGCCGAACGCAUUGACCUGGAUCCUAGUGAUGUCUCCAACGACACCGACGAGGACGUCGACAGACAUCCAAGAAGGACCAGGAGCCGAUCUGCUCAGGAAGGCUCCCCGUUCGAAAAACCAAUGACGGAAGAAGAAGAAAUCGCCUAUUGGAACGAACAAGAGGAGCUGGCUGAAAGGCAAACCGAGCUUACUCGCAGUAAACGCCGAUAGGCUCGGAAAUCUACUGACGAGACAUCGGAUAUCCGCGAUCUUCGUGACUACAUCACCAAGACUGCGGCAGCAGUGAGGGCCGUAAAGUCUCAAAUCCAUCAUGCUACUAGUGCUGCCCCCGAAAUCGAUCGACUGCUGGAAGGAGCUCGGAAGACCCCUUUUACCAGUCGCAUUUCGGACAUGAGGGUGUCCGAUCCGGGAAAAAUCGGAGUACCGAAGUACGAUGGUACGGCCGAUCCAAAAGCGCACCUUCAGGCUUUCCACAUCGCGAUGGGAAGAGCUAGACUGAAGGACGGCGAAAAGGAUGCCGGCUACUGCCGCCUGUUCGUUGAAAACCUGGAAGGAGCAUCACUUGAAUGGUUCGCACGCCUUUGUCGUAACACCAUCGGGAGUUUCCGAGAGCUCGCAUCGGAAUUUCUCAAACAAUACUCUGUAUUCAUAGACAGAGAAACUUCCGAUGUUGACCUAUGGAGUCUCUCCCAGAAGGAAGACGAACCCCUCCGCGAGAUUAUCAGUCGGUUCAAGCUGAUAAUGUCAAGGGUCAACGGGAUAAGCGACAAAGUGACCAUCGACGCGCUGAAAAAGACGCUCUGGUACAAGUCGAAAUUCAGAAAGUGGAUAACUCUCGACAAACCGCGAACGAUCCAGGAUACCCUCCACAAAGCGACGGACUACAUCAUAGUCGAGGAAGAAACUAAAGUCUUAUUGCAAAAACAUAAGGCGGCAAGACCAUCCUCGAAGGACGUGGAUCCAAAAGGGAGAAAGAAGAACUCUCGUAACGACAAAUACGUCCAUCACGAGGGGGAAGAUCUCCAAGGGGCGCAUAAUUAUGCGAUCAAUUCGGAUCAAGGCCGAACCACGGGCAACACGUGGACUCGCAAUCAAGGGUAUGACGAAAACACCUUCUGCAAGUUCCACCAGUCCCGAGGACACUCCACGACCAACUGCAAAGUCUUGGGAGCAAGACUGGCCGCGAAGCUACGAGAGCUCUCGGAAGUAACUAGCGUCAAGGAUCUCUUCCUCGAUUCUGAUCGCGCUCCAAAGACGGACAGAAAUCCGCCCGCUGAAAAAUCCCCUCUACGAAACCAGCCUGGGGAUAAACGCGGUAGGAGGCCGGACGACAAGGGGAACGAUAACAAUCGUCGCAGAGUCAACAUGAUCAUCGGAGGAUCACAAUACUGCAGCGAUACUGUGUCGGCCAUCAAGGCUUACCAACGGAAGGCAGAGUCGAGUUCAAAUUGGCCUACAUGGUCUCCUCCCCGAGAUGGCCAAAAUUGCUCGAUCACCUUCACAAAGGAAGAAGCCGGCGGCAUCGAUCAACCUCACUGCGACCCGCUCGUCAUAGAUCUCGUCAUACGAGACUUAGAAGUCGGAAGGGUACUCGUCGACACGGGAAGCACGGUCAACGUAAUCUUCCGCGACACUCUCAAGCGGAUGAGCAUCGAACUCGGAGAAGUAAUUCCGACGCCAAAACCACUCACGGGUUUUUUAGGCAAAGUAUCGAUGACUCUUGGAUCGAUCCAGUUGCCAGUCAUGGCCAAGGAGAUCAUGAAAAUCGUCGAGUUCGCGGUAGUCGAUCAUCCCGCUAUCUACAACGUGAUCAUGGGAACCCCAUGGCUCAACGCCAUGCAGGCAGUUCCGUUGACCUACCACCUGGGUCUCAAAUUCCCAACCCCAAGCGGAGUCGCGGCUAUCUGGGGAUGCCAAAAACAGUCGCGGCUUGCUUCCUCGCAGAGCACAAGUUAAGGCAAAUCACGACUUCUGCAGCUGCAAACGGCAAGCACACGAAGAUAGAUCGAUCUUCGGCCAAAAACGCCCCAAGGAAAGACGAACUAAAAUCGUCUGCCGACGCAAACGCAUCGGACGUCGAAACUCAACACGAGUCCGAAGCCCACGUACCACUCAACCGGAACAUCCGGAAAAUAGCGUUAACCCAGCCACGAUCGACAUGGUCAAGGAGGACAUCGCGACAUCUACCGCCGAGUAAAAACACUUGCGGCAUGAAACAGAACUACGAGAUGGCUUGAUCAUCGAAAGGAGUACGUAGGCAGCUCGUCAAAAGACGAGUUCAGCUAUCCCCCUCUCUAAAAAGGGGGGAGAGUGGGUGCGUAUACUCGUAUACUCCCACUUAGAAAAAUCUUCAUUAUUGUAAUCAAGUUUUUAGAAACUUCAAAAACUUGUACUACAAUAUACGUUGCUCCGUUUUAUCGAAAAAUGUUUACGCGUCAGUUAAACACAAGAAACUUUCAGGACACGCCUGGAAACAUUAAGACUCUUAUCUACGGCCUCAUCCGGCCCAAAAAUCGUAAAAUUAUCAUCUUUCAAACACUCAAAGAUACAUGUAUAAUCCUCGAAACAACUGCGAGAUGUCGCAAAGUUAAAAUUCGAAGAUAAUACGAACAAAUUGUCUGAACGCGACCACCAAAAAACCCUACACCCCGUUCGUCGAUUGGCCCCGACGAACACGCCAGCCGUCUUAAACAAACGCAAUUCGAUCACUCUUUUGAUCUUCAAAAACGUCCAACACAAGGACCAAAGCGCGCUACAACAAAAAUCUGAAAUUUUGGUCUAGCACUUCCAGUUGACUCUGAGAAGAUGCUCGAUUCGUACCAUACAAGUCAUAUAAGCCGAGAACCUAUCGCGGACUUUAAAUCGGUACGAGUCAGGAAGAAAUCGCAACAGGAAAAACUAUAGCCGGCUAAUCACCGCACAAACCUUAACUGAAAGUAAACCUAGGUCAUGCCCUAAACUCAACGCUCUGGUCUCAAACAUCUCAAGACAUGAUAUCUAAAAGAUACGAGCUCCUAAACCAUGUCUCUCCGUUCACAUCUCAAUGUUCCCGAAAAUCGUAAAGAUAGGUAAUUUUUUACGAGAAUCAUGAACGAACUAACAGAUCAAACGUCUAAUCGGAAUUAAAUGCGAGACGACAACUCAUAUUUUCUUCGACCCUAUUCAGGAAAACUCGAAACGAAACAUUCAUCAUAUAAUUAACCGCGUAAACCGGUAAGGGGAUUCAAAACCACCAACGGCCAGUCCCGAUAAACAAUAAAAACGGCCAAAACAGGCCCAUACAAAUCUCUCGGCCACACUCGGCCACAGACAUAAAAUACAAAGACAAGCAUCUUUCUUUCGAUAACUACUACACCUCUCAUAAUCCAAAGUCAAAGUCCCCGGACAACGAAGCACCGAACGCAUCCGCGGGACGAUACACUUCCUCGCCACCGUCAUGAAAUCCGGUCGGAACCUUCUCGGUAUCAGGGGACACCGGGACGGAAUCCCAGAACCCUUGAAUCCGUUCGUCAAUCAAAGGGAUGAGCGCCUCAGCAUGGGCACGUUCGUUCAUACAGCUCUUCAUCAAGCUCAUUUCCUCCUCGAACACAUAGUCAUCAGCUUGCGUCCUCCAAAGACUUCCGACUGAACCGCGGCACUCACGGAAAUCACCCACCGAGGUAAAGGCGUUCUUGAGGAACCCAUACUCAACAUGGAAUUGAGAGGCACGAGUCUUCAUCACCUCGAUGAUUUCUCGUUUGCCUUUCCUUUCCUCCUUACGGACAGCCCGCGCAUGAUCACGAGUAAGUUGCGCUUCUCGCUCCAACAUCUCGCCUUGCACGCGAGCGAGAUCUCGUUCCGCUUUCUCCGAUUUAAAACGAUAGACCAUUGCCUCCCUAUAGCUCGCUUCAAUGGCCGAGCCAAGCAAGUUGAGGCCCUGCGAAACCAAUUAACGCAUUGUAAGCAGAAAAAUAAAUACCUAGGCGAUCACAAAUAUUUUCAAAAAAAAUCAUACCCCGUUGAUGAUUCGGGACCCUUCCGCGACGACUUUCGGCCUCGCCGACUCUUUCGCAGGUGAAGGAGCAUCAAAACCCGGUGGCAGACCAGCAAAGAAAUCAUCGAAAUCCGGAAUAGGGGCCUCGCUCGAGCCACUCCCAUCGCCAUAAGCAAGGUUCGGAUCCCAUCCUGGAAGCAUAGAGUCAUCCAUCAAAAAUUCUAUGUCGCCAAGGUCGAUAUCCUUUCCCUUCCAAGAGCUCGACUCCGGCACAGCUGCUGGGGCUACAGCGGGAUUCUGUUCAUCAGGUUCAGAGUCGCUUCCCGUGUCCGCAACCGAGGCAGGACCAGGGUGCACGAACCUCAGUGCCUUCCGAAUCCUCUUCGGCGUAAAAGAAGUCCAAAAGAAGGGACCAUUCCUAAGAAGAUCCCUCACCGCAAUGAUGUCCUCAGGGAACGGAGCAAGAGGAUUGAUGAAAGGACGAUCGUUCGGCAACCUCCGGAACAGUGGAAUGCAACUCUCUUCGAAAUGAACUUCUUAACCACUGACAUAAAGUUUCGAGGGACCAGCCUAUGCUUGUUCGUAUCUUUGACAAGUUGAAGUCUCAAAAGCGCUUCAAAAUGAUCGACGAAAAGGGAAAGGCCAUGCUUGUAGCUCAGGAUAAGGAUCCCAAUAAGAUGCUGAAUUGCGAGGGGAGUCAACUGGCUUAUCGCGACCUCGAAACGGUCCAACACUCGGACGAGGAUUUCGGGGAUUGGGAACCAUAAGCGACAACGCACUACGAACGCCUCGUAGCAAGUGAAGUAACCCUCUGGGGGGGCUGUUAGCACACUCUCCGGGAUAGGGAACCCGGAACUCCACAGCAUCCGGGAUAUGGUAGAACGAUCGCAUGAUCGCGAGAAACUCGUCGGUACUCCUGCUCGAAUCUUCUUUCUCGACUCCACGAUGGUUCAGGACUGGGAACGACUUCUCUUUGGGAGGAGUCAUCGAACCAUAAUGUGCAACCCACCAUGCCUCAUUCUCGGCGGGAUGUACCGAGUGAGGCACACACUCCAUCUUCGGAACAAUGAGCUCUUUGUAAGCACUCGCGGAUGAAGACCCUUUUUUCGCAAUCUUUUUCUUGCUCGACCUUUUUACACUUCUCUUGAGAAAAUAGAGGAAAAGGGUGGAGAGAAAGAAAGAAAGUUUUUCUUAAGAAAGUUUUUCUUAUGAAACAAGUUACCUCCCUUCUUAUAGGCAUGAGAAUUUACUAUUCAAGCUCGGACUUUCGGAUAUUAAUUCCAUCCAACACGCCUAACUUGCCAAACAUGCCUAACCGCACGCUAGGAUCCUACGAUGCAUGAUCCUAACGGGCUGGGGGCUAACUGUUGGGGUCAAAAACGGUUACGACGGAAUUACCACCCGAAAAUCCUCGGAGAUCGUAUUUCCGAAAGAGAUAGUAAAAAGAAAGAUAUAACUUUCGUAAAAAAUAACCAAUACGAAGUUUUUACGAAGAAGUAUCCUUGAAGAUUCAAACCAAACGAACCAAGCUCGGUCGUUGCGUAAUUACAGUGCAUACACGCCGUCUAGUCGCUACGUAGCGACCGAACAUCCGACCCAUUCGGUCGCUACGUAGCAAACGAGCUCGGCCAAGCUCGGUCGCUACGUAGCGACCGAGCUCAAGCCAAAGCUCGGUCGCUACGUAGCUUCUUUGAAAGUGGGAUUGUUUCUUCAUCCUAACUCCUAUGACAUUUAUUCAACCUCCUGGUGGUUCUCCACUACUUUAUGUAUCAAAAUCAAGCUUCUUAUAUCGCGAUUCGUCCUGGUUUGAUUAGAAUGACAAAGAAGUUAUCAUAUUCCCAGACAAGAAAACUGCGAUCACCUGAUUUGAAAGUGGUAUAGCCUCGUCAUCCUAGCUCCUAUGAGAUUUAUUAAACUUCCUGGUGAUUCUCCACUAUUUUUUGUAUCAAAAUCAAGCUUCUUAUAUCGCGAUUCGUCCUGGUUUGAUUAGAAUGACAAAGAAGUUAUCAUAUUCCCAGACAAGAAAACUGCGAUCACCUGAUUUGAAAGUGGUAUAGCUUCGUCAUCCUAGCUCCUAUGAGAUUUAUUCAACUUCCUGGUGGUUCUCCACUACUUUAUGUGUCAAACUCAAGCUUCUUACAUCGUGAUUCAUCCUGGUUUGAUUAGAAUAACAAAGAAUUUGUCAUAUUCCUACACAGGAAAAUAGGGAUCACCUGAUUUGAAAGUGGGAUAGCUUCUUCAUCCUAACUCCUAUGAGAUUUAUUAAACUUCCUGGUGAUUCUCCACUAUUUUUUGUAUCAAAAUCAAGCUUCUUAUAUCGCGAUUCGUCCUGGUUUGAUUAGAAUGACAAAGAAGUUGUCAUAUUCCUAAAUAGGAAAACUAGCGAUCACCUGAUUUGAAAAUGGGAUAGCUUAUUCAUCCUAUCUCCUAUGACAAUUAUUAAACUUCCUGGUGGUUCUCCACUACUUUGUGUAUCAAAAUCAAUCUUCUUACAUCAUCGCGAUUCAUCCUGGUUUGAUUAGAAUGACAAAGUAGUUGUCAUAUUCCCAAAAAGGAAAACUUGAGAUCACCUGAUUUGAAAGUGGGAUAGCUUCUUUAUCCUAACUCCUAUGAGAUUUAUUCAACUUCCUUGUGGUUCUCUACUACUUUAUGUAUCAAAAUCAAGCUUCUUACAUCGUGGUUCAUCUUGCUUUGAUUUGAAUGACAAAGAAGUUAUCAUAUUUCCAAACAGGAAAACUGGGGAUCACCUGAUUUGAAAGAGGGAUAGCUUCUUCAUCUUAACUCCAAUGAGAUUUAUUCAACUUCCUGGUGGUUCUCCUCUACUUUAUUUAUCUAAAUCAAGCUUCUUACAUCGCGAUUCAUCCUGGUUUGAUUAGAAUGACAAAGUAGUUGUCAUAUUCCCAAACAGGAAAACUGGAAUCACCUGAUUUGAAAGUGGGAUAGCUUCUUUAUCCUAACUCCUAUGAGAUUUAUUAAACUUCCUGGUGAUUCUCCACUACUUUAUGUAUCAAAAUCAAGCAUCUUACAUCACGAUUCAUCCUGGUUU